rnacentral:rRNA from 1 species
CCUACGGGAGGCAGCAGUGAGGAAUAUUGGACAAUGGGCGCAAGCCUGAUCCAGCCAUGCCGCGUGCAGGAAGACUGCCCUAUGGGUUGUAAACUGCUUUUAUACAGGAAGAAACCUUUCCACGUGUGGGGAGCUGACGGUACUGUAAGAAUAAGCAUCGGCUAACUCCGUGCCAGCAGCCGCGGUAAUACGGAGGAUGCAAGCGUUAUCCGGCUUCAUUGGGUUUAAAGGGUGCGUAGGCGGGUUAAUAAGUCAGUGGUGAAAGCCUACAGCUUAACUGUAGAAUUGCCAUUGAUACUGUUAAUCUUGAGUAUGGUUGAGGUAGGCGGAAUACGGCAUGUAGCGGUGAAAUGCAUAGAUAUGCCGUAGAACACCAAUCGCGAAGGCAGCUUACCAAGCCAUUACUGACGCUGAGGCACGAAAGCGUGGGGAGCGAACAGGAUUAGAUACCCUGGUAGUCCACGCCGUAAACGAUGAUCACUCGCUGUUGGCGAUACACUGUCAGCGGCCAAGCGAAAGCAUUAAGUGAUCCACCUGGGGAGUACGCUCGCAAGAGUGAAACUCAAAGGAAUUGACGG